rnacentral:tRNA from 1 species
GGAGAGGUGGCUCAGUGGGUAAGGGCACUGACUGCUCCUCCAGAGGUCCUGGGUUCAAAUCCCAGCAACCACA